UUAUCCAGUUUUCAGUUCUCUCUCAGGGGUAAUUGUUCCAAGAGUAGUUGUAAAUUUGUUGUGUCUGUGGGAGGGGAAGUUCAGAGCACCUACGCCGCCAUCUUGACACCAUCCUCUGGGCUGGCACUCCUGCUCUCUCUUCCUUAGACAACUCACCCUGGGGGAAGCCAGCUGCCACGUCAUGAGGACACUCAGGCAACUUAUGGAGACGCCCAUGUGGCAAAGAAUGGAAGUGUCCUGCAACAGCCAGUGAGGAACCAGGGCCUGCCAGUAAACAGCUCGAGAAGAACAGUGGUCACCCCUGUCCAAGACACAUCCUUCUCCCUCGUCCUCAUAUUAGGCAGGACUCUCAGUUUCAAGUGGCACAAAAAUUUAGCACGAACUGGCUGAGGACUGUGUUAGACGCGGGGACUCACACAAUGUCAUUGGGACUCAGUCCCUCUCCAUUUCUCGGCUCUGUUAUCGUCCGUGUUGACUUCAUUCCCAGGCAGGUCCUCCUUAUGUGGUAGCAAAGACAGCCCCCCUUAGCUCCAGGCUGCCAUUCUCAGCAGCGUGGCAAUCCCAGAAGACAGGAUUCCAGCGGAAGCCCCAGGGCCAGCGCUCAUUGGACAGAACCGUGUCACGUGUUCUUUCACGACCCCGCCGCUGUGGCCAGGCGUUAGAACAAGCUGAUUGGCCAGGCCUGAGUCACAUGACUACUUCCAAAGUUGGGGGAGGCUGCGGCCCAGGGAGUGGAGAAGGACAGUUGCCCAAAGGACAGUUGCACUUGGGGAAGGAGACGGUGAAAGCGACAGAUCUCUACCUGACUUUCAGCGUCUCUACUGCUCCCUCCUCUGCCACCCGUAUACAGUGACGAAUCCCCAGAGCUCUCCUGUUCUCAGCCCAGACUCACCUUUGUUUCCACCCAGACGUCCUGCAGAACCUCCAGACCCGUGUGUCCAGAAUCACAUCCGUUAGCUUCCCUCCUCCUGGCCACCAUCGUCCUCUGUUCGUUUCCUAUUCCUGCUGUGUAGAUCGCCACAGACGCGCUGGACUACAACGGCACGAAUGUAUCAUCGUACAGUCAUGGAGGGCGGAAGUCCAAAACGAGUCUUCUGGGGCUAAAUUCCAUGUGUUGGCCUGGCUGGUUCCUUCCAGAAGCUCUGGGGGAGAAUCUGCCCCUUGCCUUCUUCUUCUGGACGCUGUUUGCAUUCCUUGGCUUCUGGCCCCACAGCCUUUCCUCCCUGUGCUGUCACUGUCACGUCACCUUCUCCAGACUCCGCUCUCCUGCCUCCCUCUUAUAAGGCCCCUUGUGGUUGCAUUUAGGGCCCACCUCUCCAUCUUAAGGUCAUUAACUGGAUCACCUCUGCAGAAGGGAGUCCCUUUGCUGCGUAAGGUGAUCUGCACAGGGUCAGAGGAUUACGACGGGGACAUCUUUGAGGGCCCACCACCCCACCCAGACACGUGACGGCCCCACUCUAGCCACCUGGGAAUCCCCAGGCACUCUCGGGGUCCACCAGGCGCUUCCUCCUCCCUCUUCCUUUGCUCCUGCAGUUUCCUCGGCUGAAUGACCCCCAUCCCAGCCCUUCCCACCUGCCAGUCUCCGUACUUGAACUUCAAGGCUUAGCUCAAAUUGCACUUCUCUUUUGUAGCUUUCUUCCACUCCUACGACUGGUAUACUGAGGUACACACUUUCUCGUGUCCCAGAGCAUAGUGUUUUAUGACAGUGAACCACAGUAGCCAGUUCACCUUUCCAACCACUCGUUUGAUCGUGACAUCUUUAGGAGCAGAGACUUUUGCUUGAUCACCUCUAUUGCUCCAGCUCCUAACUCAUAGCUCAUGGCAUUUAAUAAGGUGCAAAAAAUAUUUACGGAAUCCCACAGCAGGUAAUGGAAUCCAUCACGAUUUUUUAAAGUCCCAGCUCAUGGUGGGCUGCUUUUAUGGUGGAUGUCAGCUGUUUCGCCUGCCUGCCCAGCAUUCCUGACCCCCCUGUUUGAUACCCACUCCCCGCCGUCCUCUGGGGACCCCCCACUCCCCCUUAUGAGGGUCGUGAUCAUAUGGCCGUAUUGGCCACAGCGCCACACGUGGGUCUGGUCAGUCAGAGCCAGAGUGACUGUCCCAGAUGGAGGCAUGUGGCCCAGUCUGGGCUAAAGAGAGUGAAGACCUGGGAUUUUACAUGGAGGUGGGAGAGAGAAGCGGCUGGUGAGCUGGUGUGAGGAGCGCCUGGAGCUGUGGGGGGCCCUGCCGCGCCCUGUCACCCUCCACCUGGAAGAAGCUUGCCUGCAGACAAGACAGUGAAGUCAACCAGAGGGAAAACCGAACUCGGGUGGUACGUGAGAUAGGCAGAUGUGGGACAGUGGUCCCCAGGCAGCCUCCGCGCCUGGACUUCCCUUGGCGACAGCUAAGCAGUUCCCUUUCUUCCUGAUAUCAGUUGGAGUUGGAUUCUGACACUCGUGCCUGAGCGGAUCGUGACCGAUACAGGUUUGAACUCUGGGGUAAAAUCAUCUCCAGAAUCCUCCAGCAGACUUCCCUCUUCUUCUCACUGGCCAAAAUCAAGUCACAUGACCAUCCCUGAUCCAUCUCUUGCACAGGGGAACAGGAUUGCUAUGAUUGGCUGUGACCAGUCAUGAGUCAUCUCUUUGCUCAGAGAGCAGCACAACUGACCGGAUACUCACCCUCUUUGAGUUUCUGGGGGUGGUGAGGCCCAUCUCCAGUCUUGGGAGCAGUCUGUGUGGAGGGCCUUCUCUGGGCCAGGCCUUGUGCAGAUGAAGGAAAACAGUCCCCACCUUCAAAUGCACGCAGGAGGCAGGAAGGAGCCACUACACGGUCUGCAGACAGGGUCUCUACAGAGGCGAUCAACUUAAAUGAGGUCAUGAGGGUGGUUCCUAAACCAAUGUGACUGGCAUCCUUCUACAAAGGGAAAAGUUGGACACAGACACCUGUGCACGGGGAGAACCGCCAUCUGCAGUUGAAGGUAGAGAUCCGGGAUGCCUUUAGAGCCCUGGAAUGCCCGAGACGGCCAGUGCUCACCAGAAGAGGAGAGGGGCCUGGAACAAUCCUUCUCCACAGCCCUCGGAAGGAGCCACCUGCAGACAUCUGAUCUCAGACUUGUGGCUUCCAGACCGUGAGACAAUAAAUCUCUGUUGUCUCCGC